AAAAACGUCCUCUCUCCGCUCUCCUCCCAUCGGAUGUCAUGGAUCAGAAUUUGUUAAAUUUCCUCCCAGAACAAGAACAUUCAGAAGUUUAUAAAAUCCUUUCUUCCCAUAUGCUUGUGACGGAUUCCCCCUCCCCAGAAUACUUAAAAUCUGACAGCGAUUUAGAGUUUUAUUGCCAUCUUCUCAGAGGCAGCUUGAACCCAAAGGAAUUUCCAACUUAUGAAUACAUAAAAUUUGUAGGAAAUUUUCGCUCUUACAAC
rnacentral:lncRNA from 1 species